rnacentral:lncRNA from 1 species
CUCUCUAUGUUACAAUUUGAAAGUCUUAUAUAGACUUCGAGGAAAAGAUUAAGUUGAUCUCAAUCGUUCAUAAUCAACGGUCAUCUUUAAAGAUUCCUUUUGGCUUUUGCUUUUUUUUUAAGAGGCAGGUGUCUUUGUCUUCCUUUUCGAAGGGGCAAAUGUCAUUGUCUUCUUUUCUCUCCGAGGCAAAUGUCAUUAUCUUCUUUUCCGAAGGGGCAAAUGUCGUUGUCUUCUUUUCCGAAGAGUCAAGUGUCAUUGUCUUCCUUUUCUGAAAGGGUAAGAAACUGUUUAUCUGCUAGAGUGGGCAUAGGUUUGGGCUAUCCCGUCUCAAUCUUCCAUAUCUCCAUUUUUUCUGCUUUCUGCAAAGGAUGAACUUGAAACAGCUUCUAACAUAGCUUGUACUUGCGUCGGGUCUGCUGACUCAAUGUUUGCUAACAUUCCGAGCAGUUUUUUCUUUAACUCAUUCUGAGAGUUACUUGAUUCUGUUCUGAUUGGUUUGGAUUUCUUGGCUGCAGUAUAUUUCAGGAAUCCAACCUUUGAUUUUAGGCGUUUUUACUAAGUAUUUGAUCCGUUCAAUUUGUUCUAUAUCGAAUGACCAAUUAAUAAUAAAAGAUAUUCUUUUUGCAAAGUAAUAUUUGCAUAAUUUUAUGUGAUCUGGGAGAGAGGAGAUUUCAUUUUCUGUUUGGAAGCUCCUGGGCAUCGUCUGCUCUGUUCCNNNNNNNNNNNNNNNNNNNNNNNNNNNNNNNNNNNNNNNNNNNNNNNNNNNNNNNNNNNNNNNNNNNNNNNNNNNNNNNNNNNNNNNNNNNNNNNNNNNNNNNNNNNNNNNNNNNNNNNNNNNNNNNNNNNNNNNNNNNNNNNNNNNNNNNNNNNNNNNNNNNNNNNNNNNNNNNNNNNNNNNNNNNNNNNNNNNNNNNNNNNNNNNNNNNNNNNNNNNNNNNNNNNNNNNNNNNNNNNNNNNNNNNNNNNNNNNNNNNNNNNNNNNNNNNNNNNNNNNNNNNNNNNNNNNNNNNNNNNNNNNNNNNNNNNNNNNNNNNNNNNNNNNNNNNNNNNNNNNNNNNNNNNNNNNNNNNNNNNCAGAUUGAAAUCGCCCAUUUCUCUCUUCUUAUGUUUUCCCUCUCUUCUCUGUAAAAAAUCCGUUCUAUAUGUUUUCAAUGUUCAAAAAAGAAGUAAGUUUUCUUAACUUGUUAUUUAUAAUUCCGCAUUUUCAAUUAUAUCUUUUAGAUCCGUAAAUUGUUCUCUCCGAGGCAAAUGUCAUUAUCUUCUUUUCCAAAGAGGCAAAUGUCGUUGUCUUCUUUUCCGAAGAGUCAAGUGUCAUUGUCUUCCUUUUCUGAAAGGGUAAGAAACUGUUUAUCUGCUAGAGUAAGCAUAGGCUUGGGCUAUCCCGUCUAAAUCUUCCAUAUCUCUAUUUUUUCUGCUUUUUGCAGAGGAUGAACUUGAAACAACUUCUAACAUAGCUUGUACUUGCGUCGGGUCUGCUGACUCAAUGUUUGCUAACAUUUCGAGCAUUUUUUUCUUUAACUCAUUCUGAGAGUUACUUGAUUCUGUUCUGAUUGGUUUGGAUUUCUUGGCUUCUUUGAUUUCAGGAAUCCAACCUUUGACUUUAGGCGUUUUUACUAAGUAUUUGAUCCGUUCAAUUUGUUCUAUAUCGAAUGACCAAUUAAUAAUAAAAGAUAUUCUUUUUGCAAAGUAAUAUUUGCAUAAUUUUAUGUGAUCUGGGAGAGAGGAGAUUUCAUUUUCUGUUUGGAAGCUCCUGGGCAUCGUCUGCUCUGUUCCUUCAAAUAUUUUCCAUCAGUCAUAAAACCAUCUGGGUAGGAUUGAUUUUUGGGCUUGUUCGCUAUAUUUGACAACCAGGUGUGUGUUUUUGGACGUAGGUAUAGGAAGUUAAACCAAGCAUCCAUAUAGUCUUUGAAAUUAUAGGUUUGGGGCUUAUAUUGGACUGAUAACACAAUCGGUGUGUGUAGGUGAUCCAUUCCCCAUUCAAACGGGCUUAUUACCCUAUUGAUGGUAAUCCAUUCCCCAUUCAAAAGGGCUUAUUACCCUAUUGACGGUAAACUUUGAGAUUCUAAUACUAGUUGGGUCUUUAUCGCUGUAAAGAGUGUUCGAAUGUAACAGAUCUUGUAUCUGUUAAGAUUAACUCAUAAUACCUCCUUGUUUUUAGAGGGUUACCGGUGUCAACGUAAUUCCUGUCUGUGUAACAGGGUCUGAUUAGGUUCGCAAGGUCAUAAUUCUCAUACCCUUUGUCUAGGGCCAAAACCUUAGCUGGUUCUUUUGCAAUUAAUUCGAAUGUCUCUUUUCUGAGGAAACAGGUCUUUUUUCUUCUGCUUUAACCGGUGUGUAGGGGUUAACUGCUUGGGCGAAGGAUUAUGGGACCUUCAUUGCAUAGUCGGCACUAGUCAGUACCUUUCCUGCUUGGCUUGUUGAGGCUUUCGAAGAAGCCUGUUGAAACAGACCAUCCUUUUUGGGAAUGGAUCCGAGCACUGUCAUGGUAGUAGGCUUGUUUGUAGUGGGUACUCUCGGAGGGGUAACCAUUAUAUUUAGUGGUGGCCUUACGGUUGGUAAUAACGGAAAUUCUGCAAGGGCAGAAUAUCUAUUCUCUCUUUUGGGAGAGGCCCUGAACGGACCCUUCUGGUUUGGACUCAUUUUUCCCCUGUAGAAAUUCUCUAGUUAGAAAAUCGGGUAAAGAGUUAUUUUCUCCUUUUACAAAUUCGAUUUCAAAAUUGAAGCUGGAUAAUAGUGCUUGCCAUCUGGCAAAAAUUUGUUUUGAAAUAGGAUUUUUAACAUCCUUUUGUAAAAUCUCUUUAGCUGAUUUACAGUCAACUCUUAAUAAAAAUUCUUUGUUUAUUAAAUCAUUUUGAAAUUUUGUAAUACAUAGUACUAUAGAUAAAAUUUUCUUUUUAACUGUACUAUAAUUCCUUUGAGCUGGAUUCCAGAUAUCAGAAGUGAAACGAACUAACUGUUUGGGAGACUUUAAAGAAAUUCGUUGUUUAAGAAUUCCACCAUACCCUUAAUCAGAAGCGUCGGUUUCUACUAUCAUAAACGCUUCAGGAUUUGGAAUACCUAGACAUGGGAGUUUUUGAACAAUGGACUUGAUUUUCUUGACUGUAUCAGUUUGUUCUAGACUCCAAGGGACUGGAUUCUUCCUAAGGCGUUUGUAAAGCGGUUCGCAGAUUUUUCUAAUAUUAGGAAUAAAAUCUGCUACAUAAUUGAGGCUUUCUAAGAAACUUUGUAGUUGUGUUUUGUCUAUGAUUUCAUCGGGAAAUUUGGAUGAGAACUCAAUGGCUCUACAGAUUUGUUUGUAAGUACCCCGAUAAAGGUCAUGUCCUAAAAAUCUAAUAGUUGUUUGAAACAACUUGAUUUUCUUAGCGCUGACUACUAGACCGUUGUGUUUUACUAUCUUAAAGAAAGUAUUGAGAUGUUUAAAAUGAUAAUCUAUAUCUUCUGAGGAUAUUAACACAUCGUUAAUAUAAACUAUUGACAUAUUACUGUAGGGAUUAAAUAUAUUGUUCAUUAUGUUUUGAAAUUCAGAUGAGGCAUUUUUUAACCCAAACGACAUUGCAUUCCAUUCGUAUUGUCCAAAUGGGACACUGAAGGCAAUUUUUAUAUUUAUCUUUUUCAGUAAUUUGUAUUUGCCAGAAACCUGAUUUCAUAUCAAAUUUACUAUAAAUAUUAGCUUUGUAAGUCCUUUUUAAUAAAUCUCUUUUAUUAGAUAUCGGGUACCUAAUCCAUUGUAACACUUUAUUUAAAGGUUUGUAAUUAAUAACUAGUCUAGGAGCUCCUCUUUUCUUUCUCUGCGUUAUUGUUAACGUAGAAGGCUGCACAGCUCCACGGUGACUUAGAAGGUCUAAUAAUCUUCUUUUGGAGAAGAUCAUUUAUUUCCUUUUUACAGACUUCCAUUAAGUCAUAAUUCAUUUGAAUAGGUCUUGCCUUAGUAGGUAUAGCCUGUUCGUUAAUUCUUUAAUAUAAGGCAGGUUAACUAUGUGCCUUUUUUGUUCCCAAAAGGUUGUAGGUAAAUCGGAACAAACUUCUAGUUCGAGUUUUUGUUGAAACUGUUUAAUCUUAUCUUCUACCUCCGGGGUUUUUAAAGUUUGUUCUAUUUUAUGAACUUUAAUAUCAUUUUUUAAGUAAUUAACUUGCUUAGUGAGCAAAUUUAUCUUAAAGAUUGUUUGUGAUUUAAUAUAAUCACUUUCUUCUUUAGAGAUAGAAUUUAGGUAAGGAAAUCUUAUUUCUUUUCCUAAUACUGUGGUACAAAGUGCACUUAAGUCAUCGUAAUGUGGCUUUAUUUGAGCCAGGAAAGGAAUUCCGAGAAUUAUUUCUUCACUUGUAUCUCUUGUUAUUACAAAAUCAUUAAUAAAGCAUAUUCCGUCGUUACAGAUAUGUGCUUUUGAUAAUUUGUAAUUUAUUUUUAAUAGUUCUCCUAUGACAGAGUAUAAUUUUUGUGUACUUUUUUCUAAGUACUUUAAUAGCAUUAUUCCUUCCAUUAUGCAGUUCUUAUCUGCACCUGAGUCUAAUAAUGCUAAUUUAGUAAAGGUCAUAUCCUGGACCUUUAAUGUUAUAGGAAGAUGAUAACUUUUAGCUUUUACUUUAGUGAGUUUAACUAGUGCGGCUGAACCACCUUCAGAUUCUUUGAUAACUAAAUCAUUAUCGUUUAAUUUUGAAGUGUUACCUUCUUCUUUUUCUACAUCUUCAUCUUCUUCUUUUGAGAAGAAUUCGCUAUUAAUUGCUUUUCCUUUAUCAACUUGAGAUAAUAUUCUAUCAGUAAUAUUUUCUAUUUCAAUUUUAUUAAGUCGAAGCUCAAUAUCUUUUAAUUAUUCUUUUACUAAUUUAAGUUCAGUUUGAAGAUGUUGGAUAGUAGUAGGUUCUUCUGCUUUUACAGAAAAUCUAUUCAUUACUUUCUUCAUGUCAAAAGGUUCUAUCUGCGGUCGAUUUUCCUUUUGUUUAAUGAUAAUGUUUUUUAUAAUUCAAUUAAAUAUUUUCUUUUUAAUUCAUCAUCUAUGUGCUCAAUAAUGUCGAAUAAGACUUCCUUGGAGUCUUCUGUAAUUACUCUGAGGGAAUUUUGACUACAUACGCAGAUUGCGCUAGUACAGUUACAGCUAUCUUCUAUUGAGUUGUUGUUGUCUGAGUCAUAUGCGACAUUGAUUAAUUCAUUGUCGCUGUCAGAGUAACUAUCUGUGGAUGCUGAUGAAAUGUUAUCAUUAUCUUCUAGAAUUGCGUAAAGCUUUUCUUUAAUAUUUUCAUCUAAUUCAAGAGUGUUAACUUUACUCUUUUUCUUUUUAGUAACUUUGCACUCACUGGCUCUGUGUCCUAUUUUUCCACAAGACCAACAUUUGUCUCCAUAAUCCCUUUUAGAUUUUCUUUUAAACCUUUUCCUUUAUAAGUUCCCUCUUCUUUCUUUUCUUUACGCUUAUGGCAUUUUUUAGGUUUAUCAGAAGAUCUAUGUUUCUUUGACGCUCUUUUUGAUGGAGCGGCUAUUGAUUUAUAACCGAAAUCUUGGCAAAAACUACCAAGUUCCUUUUUAGAUUGUAAUCUAUCUUUUUUAAUAAGACUUUUAAGUUUUAGGUCAGUACAUAAGUCUAGACCUGUAACAUUAAUAAAACUUAUUAAAUCUUCAUACGUAAGAUUGUCAUAUGGGAUUUGACCAUUAAAUCUAUCUUUAAUUUUAGUUCUUACCAUUUCGGCAAAUAAUCUGGGUAAUCCGCUAAUAAAUAUUUCUUUCCAGAAAGGUUUACCGCAAUCUUCUCUGACCAUUACUUUUUCUAUGAACAUAUCUUUAUACCACCUAAAAUAUGUUAAUUUUGGGCAGUUAAGAUUAUUGAGAAGUUCAAGACUUCUAUCUUGAAAUAGUUUUGGUUCACCAAUAAAAUGUUUGGCUAUACAGUAGAUUAGAGUUGCAGUACCAUCUUCUCUAGAUUCUUGUUCUGCUACUUGCGUAUUAUUUUCAGUUUUUACUACAGUCAUUACUGUUGUGGCAUUUAGGAUUUGAUUCCUAUUUUCUUCGGAGAGAUAAUUAUCCCACCAAUUUUUUAAUAUACCAGUAAAGCCUGACACUAUUAAGGUUGUUGCGUGUUUGUCUGGCGCAUUUUUUAUUUUGUAGGCGGUUACCGAAAUUCCUAUUUCGUGGAGCUUUUUGUAAAUUUGGCUUUCAGCUAAACCAUCAAUAUUCCAUUCUGAAAUUCCAGUUCCAUCAUGACUGAAAUGGGAUAGAUAGAUAUCUUCUUCGAAUUGAACAUCUGGAAAUGAUGCUCUUUUGUAAUAAUUCUUUUUAUUAGAAUGUCUGGGAUCAUUCAUGAUUCUACUUAUUUCAGGAUUAGUAAUAGAGAUGGUUUUUAGAGUAACUAAAGGUUUUAUUUUAUUUAUAGAAUCUACAAGCUCUUUAGAGGCCUUUUCUAUCAUUUUUAGUUUAGUUUCUUUAUCAGGGAAGUUUUCUUCCUUUAUCAGAGUUUCAUAUUUAUAAUUUAAUGAAGCUAACUGUGUUUGUAAUUUAUAGAGUUCAAUGGUUUUAUCUUUGCUAGUACUAGCUUGUUUCGUAUUAGGCUUUGAGAUACUUAAUUUUGUUUUAAGUUGUUCUUCUAUUUUUUCUAGAAGUUCAUUCGUAAAAUCGAAUUUUUCUCUUAAUUGUGGAAAUUUUUCUUUAGAAAAUUCAGGGAUUUUGAUAGUAGGAUGUGUUUCAAUAGUAGGUGCUACUAUCGUUUUAGUAGAAGUUCCUAUUUUGUUAGUAUCUUUUAACUGAUUAGAUACAACAUGUAAAAGGUUAUAUGUAUAGUUAUUUUGGACUAUUAUUUUGUUUAGAUCUUUGUUUGUUGGUUCUUUAUCAAGGUAGGUACUUUCUCUUUUAAAAGGGGAAGUUGUGACUACUUGAUUUUGAACAGGUAUUAUGAUUUCUUCUAAUGUUGGAAUAGUGGCUUCUAUUGUACCUUUAUUUUUGGUAUACCAUUUAUUGAUUAUCAUUUGUAAAGAUCCCUUUUGAUUUGGGAUCUGUCCUGUUAAUUCGAACCAUCUAAAGAAUUCAAUAUCGCAUUUAAGUCUUUUUAAGUCCUUAAUCUAUUUAUUUCUAAAAGAUCUUCUCUGAUCUAAAGAAUAGGUGUUUAUAUACCAUUUUCUUUUAAUGUUAUUAUCAGGGUGUUCCCAUGAGCGUUUAGACUAUUCCAUUCUAUUUGGAAGUUAUUUUCUUCUUUAAUGACUCCUAUUUGGUCAAUUGUUUCAGCGGAUUUACUUCUAGGGACAAACGGACCCUUUUGAUAGAUUACUGUAGGAACAGUUUUGUUAAAAUUUACUCAUUGUAUUUUUCUAUCAAGUUCUUCAAUUAACCCUUCGUCGCUUUUAUUGCUUUUACUAUUUCCCUCCGGGGGUUUGAAAGAUGAAGAUCUGCUAAAGGACAUUCUUCUACUAGAAGAGGCUUUGUUUAUAGAGUUAGAUCUUAAAAAUUUUAAGUCAAUAGCUCUUGUUGGAUGUUGAAUAACUUGUUCGAUAUAUGAACUUUCUGGUUCAUAUCUUGGUUGAGUUAUGGCUUCAAAACGCCAUUCAUCUUUUGAUAAUAUCUCGUCUCAUCGAAUCAUUCUAGGGACGAAGGUAUUACUACGUUCUUGAUUUGCUUCCAUGAGCAUAGUAACUCCUUUACUACUUUCAAUCUUAGCUUUUGGAGCUAAAGUAGUUUUCAUUAGCCUGUAAUAUACUCUGUAUAUUAUUGUUAUCUCUCUUGUGUUAAUUUUACUAUUCAUGUUUUUUGUUUUAAUAUUAAGAUUCAGAGUAUCUAAAAUAUUCUGGUCAUUUAUAUCAACCGAAUAAUUUGGAUAGCAAUUAAAGUAAACUGGGCCCUGGGCUAAGUUACUUUGUAGGACUCCUAAUAAUGAAUCGUCAAAAUUUAACAGUUUAUCAUCUCUUAGUAAUAGACAGAGAGGUGUGUCUAAACCUAGUCUGUAUAAAGGUUUGACAGCUACUUGGACCAGUCCGAUAUGGAGGAAAUUAUAUUUUCUCUUGUACUGCUGUAUAUCAUGUGCUGCUAAUAACUUAAUUGUUUCAAUUAAGUUAUUAAUAGCAAUUGUUGAUUUACAAGUUUUGAUGUUAUAGUUUUUAAUAAAAUCAAACUUGCUGGUAUGAUAUAUAGUGUUAAAGGAUUCUCUAGGAAUACUCCAAUUUUGUAAAUCAUUUUCUAUUUUGGCAAUAUUAGUUACUGCCGAGAUAUUAGCGCUAUUUAGAAUUUUAUUCUUUUCAGAAUUAAUCAUUCUAAUACUGAGAUGUGUACCUGUUGAUACAGAUAGUUAUUGUUUUUAUAUUUUUCAAAAUUAUUCUUUUUUGAUGUUGAUGAUUCUCAAGAUUAUCUCUAUAAAAAUCAAUCUCUCUUUCUAUUGUUAAUAAAGCUUUAUUUCGCAGGUUAUUAUUUCUGGUUAUAGAUUUGCAAACUCUAAUAUUGUGUUCAACACAAUCUAUCUUUCUAUUUGUGUUUCGGAGAUGUUUCAGAGAUCUCCAUUUUUUAUUAUUAAGAAUCUUAUAUAAUAAAAAGUUCUAUGUUUUAUUAUUAAGUUGUUUUAAGACCUUUUUAAAAGUUAAGGGAGAGGUAAAUUGUCCUUAAGGUUUUUACUCUCUUUGUUAUCUUAAUUCAAGACUAUUUAUCUUAAUAGUUCUCUACUGUUCUUAACAGUAUAUUGUUUACUGUUUAUCUUCUUUUUUUUCUUUCUAUAUGAUCUACUUCUUAAGUUAUCUUAGCAGUGUUUUCAGUUCUAAGUUAUCUUGGGGGUUGGGAGUUGAACGUGUUCACUGUGUCCUGUCUAACUGCGGCUCUCCUAGCCUGUAACGACGACGACAACUGACGGCAGCUUAAUAGGGUUCAACUAACUCUCUCUCAGAGACCCUCACACUAUGAACUGGAAAUUUAGCCUCACACUGAAGAAUAAGAUCAUGAAGAUAUAACGAAGAUAAAUGACAAACAUAUACUGGAAUGAACAGUAUAGAACAAUUAAGAUCUAUAGCAUGAAACUGAUAACAAGAUUUUAAUUAACCUUAAAGACAAUAUGAAAGUUUAGCCUUUCAUACUAUUAACUAACAUGUUUAACUUGGCUCUGAUACCAAUUUACGGAUCUAAAAGAUAUAAUUGAAAAAAUAAUUCUCGGAAUUCCUUUCCUGACUCAAAUAAAGCCACAUUACGAUGACUUAAGUGCACUUUGCACCACAGUAUUAGGAAAAGAAAUAAGAUUUCCUUACCUAAAUCUUAUCUCUAAAGAAGAAAAUGAUUAUAUUAAAUUACAAACAAUCUUUAAGAUAAAUUUGCUCACUAAGCAAGUUAAUUACUUAAAAAAUGAUAUUAAAGUUCAUAAAAUAGAACAAACUUUAAGCUAGCCAAAAAAGAAGAAGAGUAUAUCCAUUUUAUAUUUGUGAAACUUUUGUAUGAUCGAGUUUCUAUUUAUCUUUUUUCAUGCCAUAAUCUGGUUAGUUACUCCGUGAACUUUUUUUUUUGGAUAAAUUACUUUACAAGUUAUGCACUAAAAAGGGAUGGAUGAUUUAGUAAAUAAUUUCUUAAACCAUUUUUUGGGAGAAGAGACAGAUAGAGGUAACUGUCAAACAUAUAAAAAAAAACUACCUCUUGCAACGGUAAAGUUGUCUCCAUAUAACCUAUAGGUACGGGUUCGAGCCAUGGAAGCAACUAUUAAUGCUUGCAUUAGGGUAGACUGUCUACAUCACACCCUUGAGGCGCGGACCUUCGCCGGACCUUGCGUAAACACGGGAUGCUUUGUGCACCAGGCUACCCUUUACCUCUUUCAUAGUUUAAUGAGAAUCAAGAAGCUUUAUGAUGUUUAUAAAGGUUGUUUUUUGCUUUAGCUAUAAGCAUGUGACCUGUUUAGCAUCAAAUUUGUGGUUAUUCGUAGAAAUAUUAGCCCUAAUGUGGAUGGGUAAGGCCAUAUAUAAAAAUUUUGUAUACAUGAUAAACUACUGAGAUCUUAGUUUCUCAAGUAUAGUAAUCCUUCUAGGUUCAUCAACUGAAUGAGUUUCUUAGUUGGACAUUUAAGUCUAAACCUUUCAUAGUGUUAAGUCCCAUAUUAAUUGACGAAGUCAGUUGUGGCCUCCUUAUUGUGGUCCGGGAUAAUUCUCCCUCAUGAGCUAACUUUUAGAGUUGGGUUAGACCCAAGGUUCAUUUCUAACAUGGUAUCAGAUUCAAACUCAUCUAUCCCUGUUGUUGUGUUGCACGCAUCAAUUGUCCAGUCCUAGCGUGCGAGGGGGUGUUAAGUCCCACAUUAGUAUCUGUGAAAAUAGCACGGGCUAGCCAGUUUUCGGAUUGAUCAUUGAAAAAUAGCCAGCAUUUGCAAAGUCAUUAAAAAAUAGCCACUAUUUUGCUGCAACACGGAAAGUUCUAGCAUAAUAUAUUGGAGAUUGGUGCACCUGUGUAGCUGUGUAUGAACUUCUAGCAUAUUAUGAUGGAACUCCAACACACGAAAAGCUCCAGCAUAAUAUACUGGAGAUUGGAGCACAUGUGUAUGAACUUCCAGUAUAUUAUGCUAGACCAGUAUAUUAUGCUGAAAUAUUUUCUGAAUUUUGAAUAGUGUUUUCGUUCAGAUUUAUCUUUACAUGAAAAGUGGCUAAAUUUCGAUACUUUUGAAAUUGUGGCUAUUUUUCAAUUACCACUUGUAAAUCUGGUUAUUUUUGAAUUUCACCCUUAGUAUCCUGAAUAGGUGUUAAUCUCCUUAUAUGGUCUUGGAAAUCUUCCCAUCAUGAGCUAGCUUUUGGGAUUAAAUUAGAUCUAAUAUCCAUUUUUUCACACUUCAAAAUUAAAGCAAGAAUUAUAUCCUGAAAGGAAGAGAUCAUUUAUGUAGGAACAAAGUUUCAUUUUGAUUAGGUUUUAUAAAAUUGUAAUCUAAGAGAGGAAAAAACAAGAUAAAAGGGAAUAAGGAAAAGUGGCAACGUAAAUCCCCCUUUACUUCUUUUAUCUUUAUCUUACAUGAAAUUGAUGCUUAUGAUUUGCUAAACUGUUGGUUUGGACUGGUUAAAAACUGUGUUGGAGGUGUCGAGAUGUAGAACGGGAACUUGGGAAUGAAUGGAAGGUAGUUGGGAUGGUGUGAACAGCUGAAGCAAUGUGUUAAUUGUUGCCUUAACGCUGUUUGCUUGCCAGGUCUGGUGACAGCAAGCUUAACCGCGAUCACAGGGCAUUGGCCGCGAUGCGGCCAAGCAUGAUUCUCUGGAGCAGUGUUUCAAGUACAAAAAGAUAAUGUGGAUUGCAAGAGGUUAGUCGAGCCUAGAUUAGAAUAACACGGACCUCGAUUGCAACACAUGCACCGCAAUAGUGAUUGACCUUCACUCUUUGACCCCAGACGUAGCUAACAGUUUCAUCUAUUCCAAAUAUGCUUAUCAGAUCUGAAAUGAACUUAACGAACGAUGUGGUCAGUCAAAUGAGGCAUGAACUUAUCCAGUUCAAAAAGGAACUCAGUAUGCUAUCUGAGGGAUCCUGUGAUAUUGAACUUAUUAAGUUGUGGGAUGAGUUAGACUCUCUAAACAGUAAUUCUUGUUGCAGCUGUGAUUGUCAAUAUGAUGGAAAGGUAAAAACGAUUAAGGACAAGGAAACUCUGAAACUUAAUCAGUUCUUAAUUGGCCUUAAUGACUCUUAUAGUGGUACCAUAAGAAACAUAACUAUGAUGAAACCUACACCUAACAUCGGUCAAACUUGUUCUCUCCUACUUCAAGAUGAAAAAUCUGAAUCCAGACUCUUUCACACCAUGUUCCUGAAUCAGCUUCUUUCUCUGCUGGUUCCUCAUCAGAAGGGCAGACAUAUCCUCCCAAAACAAAUUUCUCUAGUCACAAAGAAGUCUAAUAAUUACUGCAAGAAACCAGGCCAUACCAUUGAUAAAUACAAUAGAUUCCAUGGUUUGAGAAUGAUUCCUUAGGAGUCGUUUGGUACGCAGGAUUAGGUAGGAUAAAAUAUAGGAUUAAAUUAUACUGUGUUUGGUUGGCGGUAUAAAUUUAUCCCGGGAUCCCUUAGUGUUUAAUAAUUUUCACAAAGUUGGUAAAUUGAUUGAGAUAUGGUGGGAUCAACAAGUCAUGGAUAGUAAAUGUACUCAACACUUCUUAAAAUGUUAAAUUUAAUUUAGAGUUAUGGGAAGAAGAUUGGAAAUUAAAUUUGGAGUAAACAAGUGCUACUUGACUAUCCGUUUUUGGAUCCAACACUGGUAUCUCUUCCUAAUUAGUAGCCAAGUAUAAUCUAAAUAUUUUAUCAUGUGAUUAAGUGCUCAAUUGGAACAUGCCUUUGUUUGAGUGUCUAAAUGAAAUAUGUACGAGCAAAUUCAAGGGGAUGUUAAUGUAUUCUGCCUUCUCUGGAGGAAUAUAUGGAUAAUCGUUCAAGUUAGUACUCCCUCUGUUUCAAUUUAGAUGACACACUUUCCUUAUUAGUCCGUUCCAAAAAAAUGAUACAUUUCUACACUUUCUUUAUUAGUCCAUUCCAUGAUAAUUCAAUUUUAGUAAGAAUUAUCUAUUUAAAAACUCAGUGAGCUCCUUUACGAUUUCCUAUUUUCGAAUGUGUUCGCUUGCUGGUACUCUACUCGACUUUCCAUCUCUCUUGUCAUCUCCGCUAACUUUUUUGGGUCACCGCCCAUUGAUUAAUUGUGACACCACUUAUGAGAAAUUCCGUGUACGUACUACCUGCAUUUUUGUAAGAGGUUGUUUCCACUGCUUUGAGCUCCUGAUCACAUAGAGGCAACUUUACCAGUUACGUCAAGGCUCCCACUAUGGGCGGGGUUCAGGGAAGAGCGGGACCACAAAGGUCUAUUAUAUGUAGUCUUGUACAACAUUUUUGCAAGAAGUUGUUUCCACUAGUCGAAUCGGUGACCUCUUGGUCAAAUGGCAUCAACUUUACCAGUUACAUCAAGGCUCCCGAUGGGUCCGAGAAAGGGCGGGACCACAAGGUCUAUUAUUGACAGUCUUACCCUACAUUUUUUGCUAGAGGCAGUUUUCAAUGUUCGAAUCCGUGACCUUGGUCAUGCGUCAGUAACUUUACUAGUUAAACUAACGCUCCCCUUCUUAAUAUUUAGAUUUAAUAUGUAUAAAUAUUGUAUGACGUACCGAUGAGUUGUUUGCUUCCCCUUUAUCUUUUGCUCCUCCAUUUUCUUUUCCUCUUUCCAUGUAUGCAAUUUUCACUAGUCAAGCCAAAGUUCAAGUUUUCAAGUCUGAUGUAUAAAAGGUACACAAACCUUUAUUAGGAGAAGUAGAAAAACAAGAACAGAAGAAACUGAAGAAAGAAACAUAUAUAAAGCAUAUAGCAGGAAACAAUUUACUGCAGAUAUAGCCAGACUUACCUUUUGACCACUUAAAGUUGAGCAAAUCGGCCAAAGGUUGUUGCUGUUAGAACCUCUUAAUUGAGAAAAUUAGGUGAAGACAGUAAGCGCUGGGACUCAGAAAGAAAGAUCUGUGAGAGAGAAG